rnacentral:ncRNA from 1 species
GAAAAUUCUAAGAAGAGGAAAAGUAUUUUAAUUGAUUCCUUAAGCGAGCGGGGAAAUGGUGUAAGCCUUGUGGAUAAAUUAUAAUGAAAAGAGCCUUGGAGAAAUCACCUGAAAUUAAGAAGAAGUAAUAGUCAAUAUCUAUAUGUUGAAUUAUUUAUUUUUCAGCUUUGAGUAAGGAGGAUCGCAAAUAAAAUUGCGUUAAAAGUUAAGGGGUAUUUUAUUUACAUAAAAUACAAUUAGAGUGGUACCGCGGAUAAUUCGUCUCUUUG